UGGAGGUUCAACAUUGUGCAAAAGCUACCACUAAAACAAUGGCUUAUCUUCAACCAUUUAUCUUCUAUAUUCUGGCUGCUCUAGCAAUAUUCUGGCUUAUUUCUCCUCCCAUUCCUCAUUAGAUAAUGUUAAUGACAGGGUUACUCUGUCACUAUACUAUGAAAUAAGUUUAUGCCCACGUUGUGCCUCUUUUAUCUCCAAUGACCUCAUCAAGGUCUUCCACACUGACCUCCAUACCAGUAUCAAUCUAAGAUUGGUCCCUUGGGGCAAUGCUGAAAUCCAUUGCCAGGUUUACAAGUCCAUUCUUCAUUUUAAUGUAUUUUCAUUAUUAACUAAUGAAGUUCAAUUUCUUUUUGCUACUGUAACUAAUUAUAGUUUAUGCAACAAUGUGCAUCAUGGAGAAGAAAAAUGCCACUUAAACACUAUACAUAGCUGUGUCAUCCAUUUUUGAUCUGAUGUGAAAGAGCACUUGGAAUUCAUUCGCUGCACAGAGAAACAAAGCUUAAAGGGCGGCCCGUUGAAGCACUGUGGAAAAAUUGUAGUGAAAAGCUAAGAUUGAAUAAGGAGAUAAUCAACAAAUGCUAUACUACUGGAUUUGGAUAUCAGGUUGGCUGCAUGUCUCAGUAUUUGUUGGAACAUUGGCAGCAACAAAGUUAAAGAAAGGAAGCUUGAGCAGAAAAGAACUCGAAACAAAUAGCAAAACGAAGCAAAACAAAGUAAAAUGAACAAGAAGAUGAUUGAGAAAAAAUGAACUUGAUCACCAUUUCAUUAAGUUGAGAAAAAAUACAUUACAUUGAAAUUUGGCAGCUAAAGGGGAAGCGACAAAGAGGGCAACAAAGAAGAUUGAAACAAAAUGAAAAAAAAAAAAGUUAAACAAUUUUAUUUUUAUAAAUGACAUAAACUAUGGUCUCCUGCUUAUGCGGCAUGUCCCAUAGGCUAUUUUAUUGACCUGUGACUUGACUUAAGGUUAA